CGCCCGGUACGGACCCGUGGGGGGAUCCGCUUCCGGGGCACGGGGGCGCCCCGCUCCGGA
rnacentral:ncRNA from 1 species